ACAGUACAAACUGAGCAGACCGUGAGUUUAUUCAUGGAGUCGGGUUGCGUAAAGCGACAGUGGAAGUUUCAUCCACGGGACAGU
rnacentral:ncRNA from 1 species